AUGAACAGCUCCCAGGGUGGGUGCUGGAGUGGACAGCUCCCCGGGAAGACACUGGAAGUGGCGCUGGAAUGGACAGUUCCCCGGGAGGGCGCUGGAAGAGGCGCUGGAAUGGACAGUUCCCCGGGAGCGCGCUGGAAGUGGCGCUGGAAUGGACAGCUCCCCGGGAGGGCGCUGGAAGUGGCGCUGGAAUGGACAGUUCCCCGGGAGCGCGCUGGAAGUGGCGCUGGAAUGGACAGCUCCCCGGGAGCGCCUGGAAGUGGCGCUGGAAUGGACAGCUCCCCGGGAGCGCGCUGGAAGUGGCGCUGGAAUGGACAGCGCCUCAGCAGCCGGCUCCCCCAUUCUGCAGGGAGGGGGGUUGUGAGGGCAGGAGGUGGUGCUGACAAACAUGGACAUCUCCGGGGUGGGCAUGGCGCCCUGGAAAUCUGGACAGGGAUGGAUGGCCAAAUCCCUUUGUCCCAUUGCUCUCGGUUGGAUGCUGAGGAGGGUGAGAUGGCCCCAUCCGUUACCGCCUCGGGCUGGGGUCUGGGUUGGGGGUGGAAGGUGUCGCCAGCAGCCUCAUCUCCUUCCUUUGCUUUCCUCGUUGACCACAGUCCAACAAACAUGCACGGCCAAAAGUGCUUAAAAUCAGUGAUCAGAGUCUGCAGCUCAGUGCAGGCGCCUCCUCUGCCAGCUUAUACCCCAGAAGGCGACUUGUCUGUCAUCCCCUUCAGCACCUCGUCUAUUCUAUCAUCUUCGAUCACCACUGCAGGGGGGGGGGGACAAGCACACAGUCAGGACACUGGAGCAGAGCCCCUGAGCAAGGCAGGGCUGGCAGACAUGGCCUCCCGUGGGGCUUGGCUGGGGCUUGGACUCGCAGUAUUUGCCUCCCCCAUGCCCCCAUCCACCCACAAGCCAACAUCUGUUGAUGAAAUCCGCCCCAGGAAAAUGGAGCGGGAGACGCGGGCACAGAAUGCGGCUGGGGGGGGGGAGCCCCAGCAGGGACACUGGGAGGGUGGCGCGGACAACGGGGAGCCCUGUCUGGGGAGGGGAGGAGCGCAGCGAGCCAGCCCGGCGACUAGGGAGUGGGGGCACUGGGGCAAGGUCCCUCUGAGUCGGGGUGGGGCAGGCGGCAGCUGAACCUCCGGGCUUGCCACGGGGGGGGGGGCGGCGGCUCCGUUCCCCUUCCCCGAGCCUGGGGCGACCCUUCCCCACUGCGGAUCCGGAUGGAGGGGGGUCCCAGAGCCACUCUUGCCAGCGGGGAAGGCAGGGGGCGCUUACCUCUCUUGGCCCUGCCGAUCUGCCCCAGCUUGGGGGGCCGCUUGGCCUGGUUGCCCCCGAAGAAGGAGUUGGUGUCCUGGAGCCGGCAGCUGAAGGAGAUCUCGCUGACUUCGGAGUCGGUGCCGAAGUGGGCCACCUUCUCCUCGCUGUAGGGGAGGAUCUCGGACAUACUGGCAGCUCUCGGGUCCUGCGGGGCGGCCGGAGAGCGCGAUCCAGCGGCGGUGCCGGGGGAAGGAGCCGGGCGGGCGGGCGAGCGGGCUGGCGAGGGAGUGCGGAGCGCUGCAGCCUGCCGAGGUGUCUGUGCACAGGGGCUGGGGCAGCCCUACAUCAUAAAGGAAACCCAGGCGGAAGAAUGAAGUCAUGCAUCCGGGGCUGGUGCGCUGAGGGCCCUGCUCUGGAAGGUCCUCCCCCAGCCCCCCCGCGCCCCUCCCCCAGCCCCCCGCCCCCGGCUGCGCGGGGGAAGGGAGGAGGGUGACAUCAAGAGGCAAGAGCGGAAUGACGGCCAAGGCGGAUGUACGGUUCACCAAUACAGUGAAAAAUGGCAUUAAAAUGUACAAUGGGUCAUUCUUAGAAUGGCAUGACAUUUUUUUUUGCUUUGUUGUCUUCAUAAAAUGACAUAGUAUAUUAUUGAAAAGAUGAUAGUUUCUCAUGCAGAUCAGACCAGAAUAAGCUUUUUAAAAAAUUAAAUUAAAUUAAAGUACAAAAUUAAAAACACCAACUCGGAAC
ensembl:lncRNA